UAAUUUAGUGCGCCACAAUCAAACACCAGGGUCAGCUCCCUCGUAGUGUAACCUUUUCUUUCUCUUGUUUCAUUAACUGCAGAAUUAUGUUUACAGCGUAGUCAUACGUAAAGACAAAAGUUAGGGUCGUUUAUUUGUAUUACUUUUUCUCUGCCGCAUGUGUUGUAUUGAAAUGUAGAUUUCCAAGCACCCGGCAUGCAAUCUGUGUCAAGGCCUUUGCUUGAAUUUGGCCUUUCAACAAUGAGCUUCUUGUCAGCGUUUUUAGAUCGAUGAAAAAUCCCUGUCACAUGCAGAAAUGAAAUAUAACCUUGAAGAUUGUCUAGCGGACCCUGUGACAUGAAACAAGGGGGCGGUGGCACGGGGGGAUCUGGUCUGUGUCAUCGGAUGGGAGCCAUGUACUUCACCAUGCAUCUCCACCAUGUGCUUCACCAUGUAUCUGCACCAUAUACUUCACCACGUGCUUCACCAUGCAUUUUGGGUUUGGUGGUGUGGCGGUGAAUGUGCAAGCGGAUGGGCUGGCAGGCUUUAAUAUGGAGCUGGCCCACCCGUUGCAGCUAUAACAGCUUCCACUCUUCAUGGAAAGUCCCUCACACGCGUCUGCUGAAAGGAGUGGAGAUAUGGUGCUUUUUAAAAAAAUUUACUC